GAGCUCUGGAAGACUUCAUGCUGUAGCCACUGCACUGACAAGGGUGGUUGGGCAACUGUUAGUCUGAGUGACUUGCUCUGAAGACCUUCCAAGAGCUCAGCAAAGCUGUAUUCCUCACCAAGUGGCAAAGGCUGGACUGAAGGCCUGGAGAACCUGGGAGUGUCUGAGAAUCACUCCCUCCUCAAGAAUUUCAUCUCCGGGCCUGAAAUUCCACCCCGAGAGGUCCACUCAUUUGCAUGUGGAAGACUUGUGAGUUUGCAGAGCUUGCAUACUUGACUACAAAUACCGUUAUUGACAGGUCGGCGAGCCGCAGCGGGAACCCAGCAGCCUCGGCCCUCGCUGUCCCUCGGUUCGGAGCCCUGUCCUCGCCGCGGGCCUGCUCGGCCUCCGCCUGCCGCGGCUCCCCGGGGCCUGACUCGGUGAGUCCGACUCCCGGACGGAGCUCCAGUGCUCGAGUUCGCUGCGCCCCCCCGGCCCUGAGCAUCCUUCUCAAAGCUGAUGUUUCCCUUGCCACCUUUCUGGCUUCUCUGCCUCUCUCUCAAUUGGUGCUAAAACUGGGGCCAGUUUAGCCCCAGUUGGGAGUGGAAACAACAAAUGGAAUCUUCUUUUAGCUCUUCCAACUGUAACAUGUACCCAGCCCAUGCAAGUUACGGAUUGGGGGCAGCCCCGCUCUGUGUCUGUUCUCAAGGGAGGAAACCCUUAAAGAAAGGUUUUAUGCUACUUGGGGUAUUGCUUCCUACACAAGAAAUAAAUAA